UUGAACGCUGGCGGCAUGCCUUACACAUGCAAGUCGAACGGUAGAGGGGCAACCCUUGAGAGUGGCGAACGGGUGAGUAAUGCAUCGGAACGUGCCCAGUCGUGGGGGAUAACGCAGCGAAAGCUGUGCUAAUACCGCAUGUGAUCUGUGGAUGAAAGCAGGGGACCGCAAGGCCUUGUGCGAUUGGAGCGGCCGAUGUCAGAUUAGCUAGUUGGUAGGGUAAAAGCC
rnacentral:rRNA from 1 species